AUAUCAAUAAGCGGAGGAAAAGAAACUAACAAGGAUUCCCCUAGUAACGGCGAGUGAAGCGGGAAAAGCUCAAAUUUUAAAUCUGGUGGUCUCCGGCCGCCCGAGUUGUAAUCUAGAGAAGUGUUAUCUGUGUCGGACCGCAUGUAAGUCUCCUGGAACGGAGCGUCAUAGAGGGUGAGAGCCCCGUAUAGUCGGACGCCAAACCUGUGUAAAGCUCCUUCGACGAGUCGAGUAGUUUGGGAAUGCUGCUCAAAAUGGGAGGUAAAUUUCUUCUAAAGCUAAAUACCGGCCAGAGACCGAUAGCGCACAAGUAGAGUGAUCGAAAGAUGAAAAGCACUUUGAAAAGAGGGUUAAAUAGCACGUGAAAUUGUUGAAAGGGAAGCGCUUGUGACCAGACUUGCGCCCGGCAGAUCAUCUGGUGUUCUCACCGGUGCGCUCUGCCGGGCUCAGGCCAGCAUCGGUUCUUGUGGGGGGAUAAAAGCCUUGGGAACGUAGCUCCUCCGGGAGUGUUAUAGCCCUCGGUGCAAUGCCCCCGCGGGGACCGAGGACCGCGCUUCGGCAAGGAUGCUGGCGUAAUGGUCAUCAGCGA
rnacentral:rRNA from 1 species